UACGGGGGGGGGCAAGCGUUGUUCGGAAUUACUGGGCGUAAAGGGCUCGUAGGCGGCCAACUAAGUCAGACGUGAAAUCCCUCGGCUUAACCGGGGAACUGCGUCUGAUACUGGAUGGCUUGAGUUUGGGAGAGGGAUGCGGAAUUCCGAGUGUAGAGGUGAAAUUCGUAGAUAUUCGGAAGAACACCAGUAGGCGAAGGCGGCUCACUGGACCGGUAUGACGCUGAGGUGCGAAAGCGUGGGGAGCAAACAGG
rnacentral:rRNA from 1 species